CCUACGGGAGGCAGCAGUGGGGAAUAUUGGGCAAUGGGCGAAACCCUGACCCAGCAACGCCGCGUGAAGGAAGAAGGAUUUCGGGUUGUAAACUUCUAUUAAGGGGGAAGAGGAGAAGACGGUACCCCUUGAAUAAGCCACGGCUAACUACGUGCCAGCAGCCGCGGUAAUAUGUAGGUGGCAAGCGUUGUCCGGAUUUACUGGGUGUAAAGGGCGUGCAGCCGGGAGAACAAGUCAGAUGUGAAAUCCCGCGGCUCAACCGCGGAACUGCAUUUGAAACUGUUUUUCGUGAGUACCGGAGAGGUCAUCGGAAUUCCUUGUGUAGCGGUGAAAUGCGUAGAUAUAAGGAAGAACACCAGUGGCGAAGGCGGAUGACUGGACGGCAACUGACGGUGAGGCGCGAAAGCGUGGGGAGCAAACAGGAUUAGAUACCCGUGUAGUC
rnacentral:rRNA from 1 species